GGGACCUACGGGGGGCAGCAGUGGGGGAUAUUGCACAAUGGGGGAAACCCUGAUGCAGCGACGCCGCGUGAGCGAUGAAGUAUUUCGGUAUGUAAAGCUCUAUCAGCAGGGAAGAAAAUGACGGUACCUGACUAAGAAGCCCCGGCUAACUACGUGCCAGCAGCCGCGGUAAUACGUAGGGGGCAAGCGUUAUCCGGAUUUACUGGGUGUAAAGGGAGCGUAGACGGCAGGGCAAGUCUGGAGUGAAAGGCAGGGGCCCAACCCCUGGACUGCUCUGGAAACUGUCCGGCUGGAGUGCAGGAGAG
rnacentral:rRNA from 1 species